AGAGAGAAAAAUUUAUUCCAAGGCAGCCAAGCAACGGGACACAAGUCUGGCCCAAAUCUGUCUCUCCAAGCUGGGGGCUGAGGCAGAUUUUAUACACAGAGAGUAGUAAGGCAUGAUGUGAUUGGAUCUUGUAAUGAGGGGAUUCAGGAGGCUUGAUCUGAUUGGAUCAUGCCCUGGAGUGAUGCCAGGACUCAGUCUGAUUGGAUCACAGAUCAUGCCACGUGGUGUCCACUUCUUAACUCAGUCCCUGUUCCUCAGUCUGAGCACUUAGGUUCCGCCUGGAUCUGUACACUUGGUUCAUCUGGGCAUGCCCAGGGUACGUAACUUGCAACCUGGGGGUCCACGGCAACUGAAAAACAACUCGCCAUUUUAUUACACAAAGUUGAACCAGAUUGGGCUGGAUCUGCGGUUACAAUGUUUGCCGGUUUAUUAUAAAGGAUACAACUAGAGGGGCGGGGCAGUGCCGGCAAGAUGGCUGCGCCCGAGAAGAUGACAUUUCCAGAGAAACCAAGCCACAGAAAGUACAGGGCCGCCCUGAAGAAGGAGAAACGAAAGAAACGCCGGCAGGAACUUGCUCCACUGAGGGACUCAGGACUCUCACAGAAGGAGGAGGACGCUUCUAUUGAAAAACAACAACUAGAAAAGCUAUGGGGAAGAGAGAGGCAAAGAUUACAUGAGGAGUGAUUGCUGAGCAGAAGGCACAGGAAGAAUUCAGAAUAAAGAAAGAAAAGGAAGAGGCGGCUAGAAAACGGCAAGAACAAGAGCGAAAGUUAAAGGAACAAUGGGAAGAACAGCAGAGGAAAGAGAGAAGAGGAGGAACAGAAAUGAGAGGAGAAGAAAGAAAAACAGGAAGCUGUCCAGAAGAUGAUGGAUCAGGCUGAAAAUGAGUUGGAAAAUGGCGCCACAUGGCAAAACCCGGAACCCCGCCUUGGAUUUCAGAGUCAUGGAGAAGGAUCCAGCUAAUUGUCCCUUCUACAGUAAAACAGGAGCUUGCAGAUUUGGAGAUAGAUGUUCACGUAAACAUAAUUUCCCAACAUCCAGUCCUACCCUUCUUAUUAAGAACAUGUUUACAGCGUUUGGAAUGGAGCAAUGCAGGAGGGAUGACUAUGACCCCGUCGCAAGCCUGGAGUACAGCAAGGAAGAAACCUACCAACACUUCCUAGAUAUCUAUGAGAAUGUGCUGCCCGAGUUCAAGAACGUGGGGAGAGGCCGGGCGCGGUGGCUCCGGCCUGUAAUCCCAACACUUUGGGAGGCUGAGGCGGGCGGAUCACGAGGUCAAGAGAUAGAGACCAUCCUGGCCAACAUGUUGAAACCCCGUCUUUACCAAAAAUACAAAAAUUAGUUGGGCGUGCACACCGUGCCCAGUAGAGGCACAAGUGACUGCAGCAGGGGCUGGUGCAGCCGGAGCCAGAACUGCAGGAGCCCUCACAGCUGGAGCCAAAGUUCUCUAGGUCCCGAAGUCAUGGCAGGAGGAGAUCAGGUAGCAGAGACAGAACUAUUCAGAGUCCCAAAUCCAAAUAAACCUGUUUUAUUCUUACAAAAAAUAAUAGGCCAGGCGCGGUGGUGCACACCUGUAAUCCCAGCACUUUGGGAGGCCGAGGGGGGCAGAUCUCCUGAGGUCGGGAG